rnacentral:rRNA from 1 species
GACGAACGCUGGCGGCGUGCUUAACACAUGCAAGUCGAACGGACAGGCCCUGCUUUUGUUGGGUGCUCGAUUGGCGAACGCGUGAGUAACACGUGUGUAUCCUGCCCUUGACUUUCGGAUAACUUCAGGAAACUCGGGCUAAUACCCGAUAGGAUCUCCUGCUGCAUGUUGUGCGUUGGAAAGUUUCGGCUGUUCGGGAUGGACUCGCUGCUUAUCCGCUUGUUGGUGGGGUAGUGGCUUACCAAGGCUUUGACGGGUAGCCGGCCUGAGAGGGUGACCGGCCACAUUGGGACUGAGAGACGGCCCAGAAUCCUAAGGGAGGCAGCAGGGGGGAAUAUUACACAAUGGGCGGAAGCCUGAUGCAGCAACGCCGCGUGCGGGAUAACGGCCUUCGGGUUGUAAACCGAUUUGGCCGUUGACGAAGAGUGAGUGACGGUAAUGGGUAAAGAAGCAACGGCUAACUACGUG